rnacentral:rRNA from 1 species
GUAGGUGGCAAGCGUUGUCCGGAAUUAUUGGGCGUAAAGCGCGCGCAGGUGGUUCUUUAAGUCUGAUGUGAAAGCCCCCGGGCUCAACCGGGGAGGGUCAUUGGAAACUGGGGAACUUGAGUGCAGGAGAGGAAAGUGGAAUUCCACGUGUAGCGGUGAAAUGCGUAGAUAUGUGGAGGAACACCAGUGGCGAAGGCGACUUUCUGGCCUGUAACUGACACUGAGGCGCGAAAGCGUGGGGAGCAAACAGGAUUGGAUACCCUGGUAGUCCACGCCGUAAACGAUGAGUGCUAAGUGUUGGGGGGUUUCCGCCCCUCAGUGCUGCAGCUAACGCAUUAAGCACUCCGCCUGGGGAGUACGGUCGCAAAGACUG